AUGGAACACCAUAUUCUAGGAGCACAAGUUAUGUUAUUGAAAAUGCGUUCCUCUAGCAAUCCCGGUUUGAGCAUUCCAUUCCCCUUUUCAAACCCCACUUCUUUUCAUAUAACAUCCUUGAUCGAUGAGAGAACAAUAUCCAUUUCAAAACAUUUCUAACGGAUUCCUUGGUUCGAACCGACGAAGUAA
rnacentral:rRNA from 1 species